UAAACACAUUAAUGCGCAUGUGCAAACGUUCUCUAAAAGCUAUCGGAGUUUUCUAAAAGUGCGUCGUUCACCCAAAGACACGCAAAUAUGGACAUUUCAGAAGCUCCAACACUCUGAUACAGUCCUUUUCUUCUUUGGUUCGGAGCACACAGUGUCUAUUUAAAAAAAAACAACAACUUGGAAUUCUGAUUCACCUGAGCACAAUACGUUUCCACUGUGUGAUGGCCCAUCCUAGAUGCCUCCGAGCCCAGAGAAAUCGACGCCGCUUCUGGACAUGAUUAACAUAAGGCUUCUUUUUUGCACAGUAAAGUUUUUUUGGAAUGUGUUGCAGUCCUGAAAUGCAGGAAUGAAGCUAUAUUAAUAAAUGAAAUGAAGUUGAGCAGACAACACAUGUAAUAUCUUGGAUUUAAACUGUCUGCAAUCAAAUAAAAGUCAAAGUAAAUGUAAAGAA